UGAAUGCGUUCAACUCACAAU
ensembl:piRNA 21ur-4129 ncRNA